rnacentral:rRNA from 1 species
UAGGGAAUCUUGCACAAUGGGCGAAAGCCUGAUGCAGCAACGCCGCGUGGGGGAAGACAGCUCUCGGGUUGUAAACCCCUUUCAGCAGGGACGAAAUUGACGGUACCUGCAGAAGAAGGACCGGCCAACUACGUGCCAGCAGCCGCGGUAACACGUAGGGUCCGAGCGUUGUCCGGAUUCAUUGGGCGUAAAGAGCUCGUAGGCGGUUUGGUAAGUCGGGUGUGAAAACUCAGGGCUUAACUCUGAGAGGCCACUCGAUACUGCCAUGACUUGAGUCCGGUAGAGGAGCACGGAAUUCCUGGUGUAGCGGUGAAAUGCGCAGAUAUCAGGAGGAACACCAGUAGCGAAGGCGGUGCUCUGGGCCGGUACUGACGCUGAGGAGCGAAAGCGUGGGGAGCAAACAGGAUUAGAUACCCCCGUAGUCC